GUUUUAUUUCUCUGUAAAAAUGACAGACUUUACAACCUCCAUUUUACAAUGACUUGCGUACAUUUAAAUACAAAAUCUCCUAUCUCUAUUUUAGGAAAUUAGCCAACAUUUUGCAUAUAUAAAAGUAGCAGGCUAAUUUCAUGGUUAUAAAAAAAUAACAUUUACAGAAAAUUGAUUGACCGUUAUAGGCAUGAUUAUUGGCUAUCUUGCUGGUUUUGAUUCUUGGCUUGAUUUGUGGUGGCUGAUUUUUGCUCCUUGGCUUGAUUAGUGGAAUCUUCCUUCAUACGACCCCGCAAGAUUGGGCUGCCAUCGGCAAGACCAAUCUUGUUUCUCAGUUGUUUCGUACGUUGCUUUGACAGUGGUUUUGAUAGAAUAUAUGCAAGCUGGUCCUGUGUAUUUACAUGAUGAACUUGGAGUGUUCCUUUCUGAACUAUAUCGCGCAUAAAGUUUAGAUCAAUUUGAAUGUGCUUCAUUCGAGAGUGGUGGACUGGAUUGAAACUCAGUUGUGUGGCACCCAAGUUAUCACAAAGUAGCUUUGGUGUGGAUGAUAUAGGGUGGCCAAGUUCUUGAAAUAACUGAAGGAGCCAAAUGGUUUCAGAGGCCACAUUUGCAAGGUCUCUGUACUCGGCCUUGGUUGAUGAUCGAGCAACUUUCCUUUGUUAUUUAGAGUUCCAAGAAAUUGGAUUUGUGCCAAGGAAACAUAUAUAAGCAGAGGUUGAAGUUCUAUCAUCAAAGUUCCCUGCCCAACCUGCAUCGCUGUAUGUGGUAAGAGUUGACGGACUGAAUCUAAUGUGAAUUCCAUGAAAAAUUGUUUGUUUCAAGUAACGAAGGAGCCUCUUUGCAGCCAUCCAAUGAGUUGCAGUAGGUUUAUGCAUGAACUGAGAGAGUUUAGUCACCGUAAAUGAAAUGUCUGGCCUCGUAAGAGAUAGAUAUUGAAGAGCACCUAUAACACUCCUAAAUUCUAUGCUGUCAACGGAGCUGGUUCCAUCAAUGAGUUUGAGGGAUAUAGUGGUUGAUAAUGGUAUGGAUGCAUCUUUUGCACCGAGCAUAUUACUUUUGGACAUGAUAUCUCUAAUGUAUUUAUGCUGAGAUAAGAAGAGACCAGAUUUAGUAGGUAUAACUUCCAUCCCCAGGAAAAAAUUUAGCUGUCCCAUAUCUUCAAAGAGAAACAAUGUCCAAGUUUUGUGAUUACUGAAGCAACAAAUUGAGUAUGCCAGUUAUGACUAAGUCAUCCACAUAUACCAGCAGAAAACAUGUAACCGAGCUGAUUCUGUAUAUAAAUAAUGAAGAAUCUACUUUAGAAUUCAUAAACUCAAGCUCUGUAAUGGUUUUCUUGAGGGCUGAAUACCAUGCUCUUGGUGCUUAUUUUAGGCCAUAGAUGGCCUUGUGUAACUUGCAGACAUGGUUAGGCUUAGAUGUAUCCUUGAACCCCGGAGGUUGAACCAUGUAAACAUUUUCAGUCAACAUCCCAUGUAAGAAUGCAUUGUUGACAUCAAGUUGUCUUAAAAUCUACCCUUGCAUAACAGCAAUAGUCAAAAUAGUUUUUAUUGUUGCCGGCUUUAUAGCCGGACUAAAUGUCUCUUUAUAAUCUAAGCCAGGGCGUUGGUUAUACCCUUUGGCCACAAGUCUUGCUUUAAAGCGAUCAAUAGACCCAUCAGCUUUCCUCUUAACUCAAAAUACCCAUUUAUAGCCUACUAGUUUGCAGUGUGUAGGAGGAGGAACUAAGUCCCAUGUACCAUACCUAAUCAAUGCCGUGAGUUCUUCAGACAUGGCAUGUCUCCAUUUUGGUUCACGGAGUGCUUGACUCACACAGUUUGGUUCAAUAGUUGGUUGAAUAGGAUGUUUUGUAAUUGAGUUUAACUGUUUCGGCUUGUAGAUGUUGUUCAUGGACCGAGUGGUCAUGGUGUGAGUUCGGGUUAUCUCAAAAGGUGGGUUAUAGACUAUGGACUCGAUGAUUUCUGUACAAGGAGUUUGUUUAUCCAUGGUGAGUAAGGGACUUGAGUGAGUGGACUCACUUGUGUGCGACUGGUGUGGUGUGAUCGAAGAAAUUGAGUUUAAAUUGGGGAAAUUUCGAGGAGAGAAAUUAGGGGAAUUACCUGAGGGUGUAGCGGAAGGCGGCGAGCUCUCAGACUAUACUGACAGUGGUUGCGGCACGGGAAUCAUCGAUAUAGGCAGCAUAGAUGGGGAGGAUUUUAGUGCCGGGUUCUUGGGACUUGAUGGGACUUUUGGUUUCAUUGAAGAUAACAUGCCGAGAGAGAUAUGUACGUUUUGUGUUCAUAUCAAAGCACUUGAAUGCAUUUUGGGUUUGGGAAUAGCCUAAGAAUAGGCAUGGGAUGGAUUUAGGUUGGAGUUUAUUUGAGUUGUAGGGCCGGAUUAGAGGAAAACAGAGGCAACCAAAAUUUCUUAACUUGAGAUAAUUUGGUGUUUGUUGAAAUAAGGCUUCAAAUGGUGAUUUAUUUUUUAACAAUUGUGUUGGUUGUCGAUUAAUAAGAUAAGCAGCCGUUUCAAAAGCAUGGGGCCAAUAUGAUAGGGGUAGAGAAGUAUCUUGUAAUAAGGUUAAUCCUGUUUCAACACGAUGACGAUGACGAUGACGACGUUCGGAGACCCCAUUUUGUCGUGGUGUAUGGGGUGCCAUGGUAUAGUGGCUAAUUCCAUGAAAUGAAGGAUAAUUUUUGAGUGCCACAAAUUCACCACAUUAUCGGAAUAGAGACUUUUGAUUCUCUUUUGAAAGCGAUUUUCCACAAGAUUUUUACAUUGUGGAAGCUUACGUCGGAUUUUUUUGUUAAAGGGUAGAACCACACAUAUUUGGUAAAAUGGUUGACCAAAAUCAAAUAAUAUUUAGAACCAUCGAUCCCAAUUGUAUGCGCGGAACCCCAAACGUCGGUGUAGAUGAGAUCAAGGGGUGCAUUGCUUUGUAAACUAGUGGAACGAAAUGGUUGUUGGUGUGCUUUAUUCAUUGAACAAGAAAUACAAAUGUGAGACACUUGGUCUUUUUUUUAUUAAAAGGGAAAAAGAUUUGAUAAGAUAAUGAAUAACUUUUUGAGAUGGAUGUCCAAGCCUCUUGUGCCACCCAUCAAUCGAUGUUCGCUCAUGCACAUUUGCAACCAUUUUUUAAGGAGAGUCCGUUAGGGAGUUUGGGAGCUUGUAAACACCAUUUUCACAUGCACCUUUAAGUAAAGUUGCCCCCGUGGUCUAAUCCUUGACAAGAAAAUAAGUGGGGGUGAAAUUCAAGAAAAAACAUUAUUUUGAGUGGUAAAGUGAUGAAUGGAAAUCAAUUUUUUGCAGAUACUUGGAACACAAAGUAUCAUUUAAAUUAAAGGUACGUGUUGGUGAUUGAAAUACCAAAAAACCAAUGUGUGAUACAUGCAAACUUGAACCAUCGCCUAUUUCAACUUCAUAUGUCCCACCAUAUUCCGAGUGCAUUGAGAGGUUUGCCAAAUCACUCGUAAUAUUAUGUGAAGCAGCAGAAUCAAUGAGCCACUUAGUGUUCUACUGUUGAGAGGUGGAAACACAAUUUGUAGUAACUUCGGGAAAAGUCGCUCGUGGACACUACUUUGCAAUGUGACCCAAUUGGUCACAAAGUUGACAUUUGGGCUGGAAGCAUCGUUGGCCGUUGUACCGGCCCAAGUUGUUUUGCUUCCUAUUAUCACGUGGCCAACUAUUUGGGUGUGAUUGGGCCACGGACCCUUUAAAGAUAUGUUUCUUAUUUGGACCCCGAGAGGAGUUGCCGUUGCUUCCAGAUGAAGAGGAAGAACCUGGACGCCGGUUCGUGUAGUUGGUCGUGGCUAGUAGCUGCUGUGUUGAGACUUCAAAGGUGAGGGAUUUUUCCCGAGCUCUGAUGGGUGUAGCAAUCUCCCGAUAAUCAGAGCCGAGACCAUUGAGAAUGUAUAAAGUGAGAUCAUCAUCUGAAAUUGGAUGAUCAAUGAGUGCUAUUUCAUCACCAAUAGACUUCACUAUAUGCAGGUAUUCCUGGAUGGUUUGAUUGCCCCGUUUCAUUAGUGUUAUUUCCUCUUUGAGUUGCAUUGCCCUAGUUCGAGAUUUGCUAGCAUAGAGGGUGUUUAAUUUUUGCCACGCUUCCUAAGAAGUUUUGGCAAACAAAAUGAGAGGGGUGAUGGUCGUCGCAGUGGAUGCUAGGAUAGUACUUAGGAUUAGUUUAUCCUGCUUUACCCAGGGUGUUUUUUGAAGGGAGGAUGAGGGUUGGUCAGCUUGAUGGGGGCAAGGUUUUUCUCCAGUGACGUAGUUGAGGAGGUUGUACCCAAUUAGAAGAGCUUCAAAUUGGGCACGCCACUAUGGGAAGGUUGAGAGAGUAAGUUUGUCAUUGAUUUGUGCUGUAACGUUGAGAGCAAUCAAGGGGAUAUCUGUUGGGGAUGAAGAAUUUUGAGUGGGGUUAGAUGAAAUGGGGAUCAAACUCUCGUGAGAGAAUGGCUGCUCUGAUACCAUGAUGGAAAUUCAACAAGAGCAACUGAUGGAAAUUAGAGCAGUGUUUUAUUUCUCUGUAAAAAUGACAGACUUUACAACCUCCAUUUUACAAUGACUUGCGUACAUUUAAAUUCAAAAUCUCCUAUCUCUAUUUUAGGAAAUUAGCCAACAUUUUGCAUAUAUAAAAAUAGCAGGCUAAUUUCAUUAUUAUACAAAAAUAACAUUUAUAGAAAAUUGAUUGACUGUUACAGGCAUAAUUAUUGGCUAUCUUGCUGGUUUUGAUUCUUGGCUUGAUUUGUGGUGGCUGAUUUUUGCUCCUUGGCUUGAUUAGUGAAAUCUUCCUUCAUAUCAAACCUAAAUUACCAGUCUUCUACUUCGCAAACUAAAGCUCAUAUGCUCUUGCUCAAAACCAUGAGGAUCCAAAAUUGUAUAAUUCAGUCCAGAUACAAGAAUCUAAAAUAGUUAUUCUCCAGAAGCCUCUAAUAAAAACCCUUAAGAGAUGAGCAGGUACUCUCAGUUUGUUCAUUAACCUGGAAACUUAUGUAACCUUCUCCACUUUGUCCUCAAUGGCUCUCCCUCAUAUAUCCAGGUUCUCUUUAUGCACGGUUUUGACUAAUUAAAUAGGAGUAAAGUAGUCUCUAGAAACAAGGUAAAGGAGCUCGUCUGUCUUUAAGACUUCAUUACUAAAGCUUAGAGCGGCUCAUAGGCAAAGACAGCGAAGAGUUCAGUGGGGGUGAGACAAAUAGAUGAGCUUAAUAAGUCAAGAAACUGAAAAAUGGAAAACAGACGUGCAGGAGUAGGAUAGUUGAGAAGUGAAAAUGAUAAUAUAGACUGCAUAAAGGCGUUAUAGUGUUCACAAACUUCUUGGACCACAAUACUAUUGGGGACCAUCUAAUUCUCAAGCUAUGAACCAACCACAGAAUUUUGCAAACUGGCUUUAAAACUUAUUAACCAUUCUUUUGUAUUAUGAUUUACUCAUAACAAAUUCAACGCUGCUGAUUAUCAGAAGACUAACUGAAGUCUACAAAUACAAUCAUCACAUCACAACAGAUUCUUUCAUUUGGUUAUCCUUGACACAACCCCUUCUACACCGCCUCCCAAUGUAGAAUUUAGGAACAUCCCUGAAAUUUCCUUCAUCUCGUGGCCAACAAAAUGAAAGCAACAACUCUAUAUAUUAUUGUUGAACAUGAAAUAGUAAUUUUUAAUAUGAAUAUUUUCCUUAAAUACAACUCCGUGACACUUGGACUGGACUACAAAGUCACAUGACCAUCUUCAGGAGCAAGCAAUAGAACAGCCAGUCCUAAGGCCCCCAAACUGCCUUACACUUCUGCUAUAUUGUGAACGCCUAUUCUGAACGUUAAUCAUACACUUCAUCUUCUAUAAAUGAAAUUCUGUGAAUUUUUGAAGGAACAGAACAUACAUUUCCACUUACCUAGUCUCAAUGUCAUAAAGUUCCAGAUAUUCACAUGAAACACAAAACGUCAUGAAUCCAACACAAUCCAUACAUUUGCAUAACCAAAAUUCUCAAGAAUCCCAAUCCACAAAUUUCAUCAUCUCUCCCUAUGAAGAAUGUUAACUCAUCUAAAAAUUUAAACUGUCAUAGAUGUGAUGCACAUAUUUAUUUAAAUGUUUUCUUCAACACACUCAUAGUAAUAGGCCCAACGAGUGAUCAUUUUUCAUAAUUAGGUCUUUAGGAUCUAAUACAAUGUUAAUCGUUCCAUGUAAAAGUUUUAUUAUCUGUACAAGUCUAAAUAGGAACCUUUUUCAUUCCAAAUAUGUAAACAAUUUCAAAUGAUUCCUUGUAAGUUGAAUCUUUGGUACUCAAAAAAUAGGAAAUAGGUCAAUCUAUCUAUUCUAUCGAGUAUGGAGUCAACUGAAGUUGCAGACAAAAAGAACUUUAACUAUGCCACAGAAAUCCAAAUCCCAAACCCAUAAUCACCCUUGGGCACAUCAAAACCAACAAAAUACAAAUAUAUAACACCCAGGACUAUAAUAAACAGCAAAAUAAAGAGUAUAUAGGCAGAUUUUUUUACCAGUUCUUCCACCCGCUCCAGUAACAAGAACAGUACUUUUGUUCUAUUAUGUUGACCUCGUUUUUGGUUACGUUGAUGUGUGUUUGAAUUGUGAUGCCAA
rnacentral:lncRNA from 1 species